AGUGAACGCUGGCGGUAGGCCUAACACAUGCAAGUCGAACGGCAGCACAGUAAGAGCUUGCUCUUACGGGUGGCGAGUGGCGGACGGGUGAGGAAUACAUCGAAAUCUACUUUUUCGUGGGGGAUAACGCAGGGAAACUUACGCUAAUACCGCAUACGACCUACGGGUGAAAGCAGGGGAUCUUCGGACCUUGCGCGAUUGAAUGAGCCGAUGUCGGAUUAGCUAGUUGGCGGGGUAAAGGCCCACCAAGGCGACGAUCCGUAGCUGGUCUGAGAGGAUGAUCAGCCACACUGGAACUGAGACACGGUCCAGACUCCUACGGGAGGCAGCAGUGGGGAAUAUUGGACAAAGGGCGCAAGCCUGAUCCAGCCAUACCGCGUGGGUGAAGAAGGCCUUCGGGUUGUAAAGCCCUUUUGUUGGGAAAGAAAAGCAGCAGGUUAAUACCCCGCUGUUCUGACGGUACCCAAAGAAUAAGCACCGGCUAACUUCGUG
rnacentral:rRNA from 1 species